UUGAGUCACUUUAAACGUAAUUCUAUCAAUUAUCCGUAGCACGCGUACGCGAACCAAUUCAUUAUAAAAGUGAGUUCCAUCUCGAGGAUUCUAUUAGGAUCUCUGGCAGCCUUUCUUUAAGAUGUCGCGAGUUGUGCUACUUCUGUGUCUCCUGGUGCUGGUCUCCGCAGCCGUGUCGCUGGACGUGCCCGGCGGCAUCCCCAAGACACCCGACCUGGGCAAGCUGCCCGACGCCCCCAAAUUGCCUGACAGCAAUCUACCGAAGACCUUUUCCGAUUUGGACGACAUCGACAAGUAGCGACCACUGACCUAAGGCAUUUUGGAACUGGUUUUGUAUGAAAUAACCUUUACUCAUACAAAAUGAGUACUACAAAUGUCCUUUAUGCCGCCUGAAGCUUAAAUUUCCAUCUGGAAAAUAUAUACUUUUGGCUUAACGCGGCUCCUCUCUAUGAUGACCAUGAAGCGUUAGUAAAUAAGUUAUAUAUGUAUUUAUGAAGCAUAUUAAAAGCUGCAGCUGAC